rnacentral:rRNA from 1 species
CGUAGGGUGCAAGCGUUAAUCGGAAUUACUGGGCGUAAAGCGUGCGCAGGCGGUUGUGUAAGACAGGUGUGAAAUCCCCGGGCUUAACCUGGGAACUGCACUUGUGACUGCACGGCUGGAGUGCGGCAGAGGGGGAUGGAAUUCCGCGUGUAGCAGUGAAAUGCGUAGAUAUGCGGAGGAACACCGAUGGCGAAGGCAAUCCCCUGGGCCUGCACUGACGCUCAUGCACGAAAGCGUGGGGAGCAAACAGGAUUAGAUACCCUGGUAGUCCACGCCCUAAACGAUGUCAACUGGUUGUUGGUCCUUCACUGGAUCAGUAACGAAGCUAACGCGUGAGGUUGACCGCCUGGGGAGUACGGCCGCAAGGUUG